GACCGGUUGGCGCAAUGGUAGCGUAUAGACCUCCUACUUAAGCACAGUGUUAGGAAUCUGACAUUGUGUAGGAGGCCAGUCUAGGGUUGCGGGUUCGAGUCCCGUGCUGGUCG